rnacentral:rRNA from 1 species
UACAGAGGGGGCAAGCGUUAUUCGGAAUUAUUGGGCGUAAAGGGCGCGCAGGCGGCGAUUCAAGUGACGGGUGAAAUCCCUCGGCUUAACCGAGGAACUGCCUGUCAGACUGGAUUGCUUGAGGCCGGGAGAGGCGAGUGGAAUUCCCAGUGUAGCGGUGAAAUGCGUAGAUAUUGGGAGGAACACCAGUGGCGAAGGCGGCUCGCUGGACCGGUUCUGACGCUGAGGCGCGAAAGCGUGGGGAGCAAACAGG